GACGAACCGUGCGAACGUUAUUCGGAAUCACUGGGCUUAAAGGGCGCGUAGACGGGUCGGCGCAUCGGUCGCUGAAAUCCCCCGGCUCAACCGGGGAACGGGCGCCGAGAUGGCCGUCCUCGAGUGGAGGAGAGGGACCUGGAACUGCCGGUGGAGCGGUGAAAUGCGUUGAGAUCGGCAGGAACUCCGAUGGCGAAAGCAAGGUCCUGGACUCCCACUGACGUUGAGGCGCGAAAGCCAGGGUAGCGAACGGG
rnacentral:rRNA from 1 species